rnacentral:lncRNA from 1 species
UCUGCAAUCAGUUGAUGCCAACCCUUUAUGGCGUGCUGGGGAGGGAAUUGGGUUAUAUUAAAACAAACAUAGAUCUAUUUGCAAUGGAAUGCAAAACUCACAAGCUUCCUUAAGAAAGCAAAGCAGAUCCGAAGGAGUUGAGUGUGCCUCGGGCCACUCCUCUCCCUGCUCCCACCCAUUCCUCUCGCAGGGAGACCCUGGCAGGGCCGGGGUUGAGAAGCGCUGGCGUGGACGGAGAGCACCGGCUGGAAAAGACAGGUGUGCGCGCUUGCAUUCUUCCCGCAAACAGCUACAGAAAGCCAACCCUCUCUGGACUCUCACAUCAUCAAAAAACAAAGGGGUUGGGAAGCGGACUUGGCCCAAUGGAUAGAGCGUCCGCCUACCACAUGGGAGGUCCGCGGUUCAAACCCCGGCCUCCCUGACCCAUGUGGAGCUGGCCCACGUGCAGUGCUGAUGCGCGCAAGGAGUGCCCUGCCACACAGGGGUGUCCCCCGCGUAGGGGAGCCCCACAUGCAAGGAGCUCGCCCCAGCACGAAAGAAAGUGCAGCCUGUCAAGAAUGGCUCCGCACACAGGGAGAGCUGACGCAGCAAGACGACGCAACAAAAAGAAACACAGAUUCCGGGUGCCGCUGAUAAGG